GAUGAACGCUAGCUACAGGCUUAACACAUGCAAGUCGAGGGGCAGCAUAAUCGAAGCUUGCUUUGAUUGAUGGCGACCGGCGCACGGGUGAGUAACGCGUAUCCAACCUUCCCCCUGGUAGGGCAUAGCCCGUAGAAAUGCGGAUUAACACCCUAUGUUGUGCUUUGAGGACAUCUGAGGAGCACUAAAGUUUGACGCCAUGGGAUGGGGAUGCGUCCGAUUAGCUUGACGGCGGGGUAACGGCCCACCGUGGCUACGAUCGGUAGGGGUUCUGAGAGGAAGGUCCCCCACACUGGAACUGAGACACGGUCCAGACUCC
rnacentral:rRNA from 1 species